UGCUGAGCGCAGGGGAACUGAGCAGGCUGGGCUCCCAAUAAACAGGAGGGGAAAAGCAGAGAUGAGUCCGGGAGGAAGAGGACGGAGCGCCGCUGAAGACGGAGCCUGGAGGAUGUUUCCUGGCCCAGUCUGGGAGAGGAUCAGAUAGUGGGCAGAUAACAAUAGAAAUGAUGACUGAGACGAAACUGCGGCCACUCGCUGGGCAGAGAGAGAGGCUGGCCCCACCGCGGGCAGACGGAGACUGGAGAGGAGGAUCCAAAGCACGAGCAGCUCUGGUGCACGAGCUGAGCCCUGCAGCAAACUCAUGUGGGACCUCUGAGAGCUGAGAACUUCCAGGACUGCUGCAUGAGUGCUUGUACCUUUUCAGCUGGGGUAUGAAGACUCAGCAGCAAAUUCAGACCAUAAAUAUGUCUGGAGAGCGUAAAUAACUGUUACCAUGGCUCUUUCUGCCCACCAUGGUUCUUGCUUUCCUUUCACCAGUACUUUGGGAACUACCCCAUGAGCACUGGGUCCCUUGAGCCCACAUCACAGUGCGUUUCCCUCUAAUCGGAUAGAUGCUG
ensembl:lncRNA